GGGAAUUCUAGAAUACGUCCUUAAAAAUCGGCGUAAUUUUCCAGAUAUGAUUGUGAACAUAUAGAUCUAGAUGAUUUAAUUGUGGGCGCGUUCCAAUCGACCAUUCUGGACAUGUUCUGUCCGGGACGUGUGAAUGGAAUGAAAUGGAACACAAGACUGUCCGGGACGUGUAAAUGGAAUGAAAAGUGAAAUCUGUGUAUUAACAGUACAGACCAGGAAGUUUAGAAAUGAAGAGAUGCAGGUCUGAAUAAUGUUCAACACAGUCAGUGCAUGGGGGAAACAUAGUGGAAACAUUUCACAAUGACAUCUGUGAAGUUCAUACAUGCACUAGUAACAGUACAGGUCAUGGUCUUCAGAUAUGAAGAGUUGCAGGUCUACAUUGUUCAACACAGUGUAUGAGGGAAACAGAGUAGAUGGCAAGGAUAGAAAACAUUUCACAAUUUUAAAAUGAUCAAGUUGCCUUAGAUGACUGUUCUUGCCAGCUGAAGUGGAAUUCUAUAUUAUAAAUGAAAACUGUGAUGUAACAGUACAGACCAUGAAGUUCAGAAAUGAAGAGAUGCAGGUCUAAAUUGUUCAACACAGUGUUUGAGGGAAAUGUAGUGGAUUGCAAGAAUAAAAAAACAUUUCACAAUUUUACAGUGUUCAAGUUGCCCAAGAUGACUGUUCUUGUUGUGGGUCUAGUACCAGCUGAAGCAGAAUUCUGUUUUAUAGUUGAAAACUGUGGAGUAUCAGUGCACACCAUAAAGUUCAGAAAUGAAGAGAUGCAGGUCUAAUUUGUUCAACACAGUGUUCGAGGGAAACAAAGUGGAUGGCAAGCAUAAAAAAAAACAUUUCACAAAGAAAUAUAUGAGGUGGGGCUUGCUGUUGUAUACCAUCGCGAAACCAAGAAGUUCAGACUGUUUUGCACAUACUUGGAUUCCUCAUGUAUGGCCUUGAAGGGACAGUCAUAGGAAAAGGUGAAGUCAUAGGAAAACAAAGAAAAAAAGCUACAUACAAAGAAUUCCAGACAUACAGGGUUGUAGAUCUUUGUAGGAUCUUGUUGUGAGAUGUGGGGAGCUGCCAAGCAGAUUGAAUGUAUAAGGUAGAUGACCUAAAAAAGAGACAAGAUACAGCAGGUACAAGUUCUCAAAGAGAGGAAGGUCUGUCUUGGUAAAAUCAGAGUUGGGCAUUUAAAACAGUCAAACGAUUGUUAUUGUCCUUUGAUUACUCAACAUUAGAAUACUAAAGUGUCAUCCUUGUCUGGAGCAUUUCUCAGCAACCUUUGGCUGGAAUUCAGCAAAAAUUCAUAGACAGCUUCACUGUCAAAAGAUUGAAAGAUGGAAGAAACAUUGCUUGGGACAGUGGAUGACAUUGACUUAAUUUUUGAAAGCAUGGGACCUUGUCAUGAGUACAGGUUGAAGGUCUAAGCCAAGACACCAUCCAGUAUAGGCGUCAACUCCAGUGUCAGUGUACACAAAACUUGCCAAGACCAGGGAACAAGUGGACUGAGUAGAAGUUGUUAUGUAUGAAGCAGACACAAGGAGUAUAAAGACUUCAUCAGAAUAUUUUGUGAUACAAGGUUGAUAAGGGACCUUUGACGUACAAGGAACCACUGCUACUUGAAUUUUAAACAUUUAUUACUGGUAGUUACUCGAUCUAAGUUAUUGUCUCUUGCAAAGAAAGCAAAAAGCUAUUUAUAUUUUAGUUGUCCAAUUUCAGUUUCUCUAUCUGAGGUUCACAAGUCAGUUUACAAAGAAUUCAUGACCCAGUGAAAUAGCCAUUUUAGGCAAAGCCAAGAAAUUUUAUACCCAUGAAAUUAAUCAAAGCCUUGAUAAACCCGCAACCAAUAAACAAUGACAAUGUUUAACUUAAACACAAUAGCACGCUGAUAAUUAGAUGUAAAAAUUGAAUUUUUCAUAUGACAUUAUAUGUUAAUUAGAAGAAUUUUUUUUAAAAGAUGCUUUAGACACAACUCCCACUUUUUCAUAAAGAUUUUGGGACAAAAUGUUUCUAGUAUUUGAUCAUACUCUAGUUUGUAUAUGUGUACCAAGACUAAAGUACCUCUUCCACUUUUAAGCUCAAGAUUAGCUACUCUGAUCACUAACCGUCAUGCAUCAGUUUGUCAAGAUUUUCUUCAGACAUUUCUUUUGUAACCAUUAGUUGUUACUUGGCCUGGAUGCUCCUUGGGUAGUCUUGUUCUAAAAAUUUUGAACAGUUCCUCGUGGUUGCAUAAUAUUAUAGGUUCCACCCCAGAAAAAAAAGAUAAAACUCUUUGAAUGAUAUCUCCUUAAUCACAGCUCUGAUUCUGAAAUUAUUUCACAGAAAUUGUCCUUAAUGACUCUUUACCAAGGUUAUUAUGCCCUCAACAUAAUGUUGGUGCUGUUCAUACAUUCGUCUGUAUGUAGAUCAGAAAGUACAUACGUCACAAAAUGUUGGUGUCCAACUCCUCCAACACAAUUAGUCUGAUGUGCUUCAAACUUUUACAGAUGAAUAAGCUUGUGGAUGAGGAUGUGAAUAAUCUGUAAGGAGGAAUUAUUUGAUGAAUAAUCUGUAAGGAGGAAUUAGUUGAUAAAUAAUCUGUAGGGAGGAAUUAUUUGAUAAAUAAUCUGUAAGGAAGAAUUAUUUGAUGAAUACUCUACAAGGGAUAAUUAUUUUAUGAAUAAUCUGUAGGGAAGAAUUAUUUUAUGAAUACUCUAUAAGGGAGAAUUAUUUUAUGAAUAAUCUGUAGGGAAGAAUUAUUUUAUGAAUACUCUAUAAGGGAAAAUUAUUUU
rnacentral:lncRNA from 1 species